CUCCAGUCCUGGAUUUCCCGUGGGCUCAUCAGCUCCAUCUUUCCUUCCAUCAGAGCUGAAGAUGGUCAGUGAUUUGCAAGAUCAUCCCAAAAGGCAGAAACAAGCAAGUGAGGCAGAGGUAUCCUAGCCAGUUCCCCUCCUAGCCAGCAUCUGCCUUAAAGCACAGCUCCUGCAACAGCCUGGACAACAUCCACGAUGCUUUGGGUGUCCGUGCCUGAGUUCAGAUGUCAGCUCACGAGGUGUGUCCCCGUCGCUGCAGGGCCACCGCGCAAGGCCAAGCCCGUUCCCUCUCAUUUCCCUCGGCUGGAAAAUCCACUGAUGUCAGUGGGACUACCGAAAGUCUAGGCUCAUGGGAUUGUAUGGUUUUGCCAUGUUCACACCAGAAGUCAGAAGUCCCACCCAUACGUGAAGGGAAAUGCGAUAUAGGAAGUGAUUAUAUUUACCAUACAAGAAAAAAAAAAAUCUCUUGUAAAUCUGUCAGAUGAUGGACAUCAGGGUACAGUAAUGCAAACACAGCACUGGGAUUGAGGAAUGACUGGAUAGUCACACUACAGAGCUUUUAGCUCCCCAUACAGAACUGCCAGUGGGGUGAAUAAAUCCCAGGGAGUACCAAGACGACCUCACCCAGGAUAUAAAAGUAGCCCCGUUCUUUCCAUGGCAACUGAAAAUGCUGUGUUAUGGCAUGUGCAUUAGCCUUACCCUGAGAAAUGCACGGUCUGUUCCAAGAAGAUCCAUUAAAACAGCAACAACAAAAAAUGACACAGCCAACUCGAAGCAGAGGUCAGGAGAGUACAGCUGAGACGAUGCCUUGCUGUCCCUGAAUUCACUCGCUGCAUAGCUCAAGGAGAGCUUCACUGCAAACUCUCCCGGUUGCUUUGGGUCCUGCCUUGUCUCCUUUGGCUGGUUGAUGAGAAAUGUUAAGCUUCCACGCGUUACUCUGUUCACAGUGGAUGUCAGCUGUUAUUAUUCAUAAUAUAUUGGCAACAUAGAAAGAAAAAAAGAUUUUCUUUGGUUAGAGAGAAAGUAACAAAAUUAAUAGCGUCUCUUUGUUAAAAAUGAGAUACCUAAACUAUAAUCACCAAGUUUACUUUUCUUGAGUCAGAAACCAUGAAUCAUCCUGUAAAAUCAGAUCAAAUUCAAGAUUAGUUUCUCAUGGUAUUGCUGAGGAAUUUCAGAUAUUUCCAUUGGGAAAAGAGCUAUUUCUUUAACCAUCCCAAGGUUAGUUUGUUCAGUCCGAUUUUUUCUUGUAUAAUGAAGGUUGCCCAAAGGUAAGGAAUGUCAAGAUCUAGAAGUGGAGUGCAAAAAUUAAAUAAAAGAAAAUAGGGAGAUUAGGACAAGAUUAAGAGACCAAAGUUAAGCGGAGACACAAAUCAGACUAUUUGAGCUAGGCAGAAAGUUCAUAAAAGCUUAUGACUGUCUUGUUGAAUACUACACAAAAAUAUUACAAACCACUGGCUAGAGAAGCCUUCUCCGGCCAUCUGUGCCAGUUGUAAAUAAAGCAAUACAGAAAGUUAUCUGAACACAGGUUUCACAAGUUUUUUCUAUUGCGUGGCAGUCUUGCAACUGCCCAAUAUCUAAGACACACAUUAAGGCAUCCAUAAACCUGCGAGAUCACUGUGAAUAAAAUCGUGCUCUUUGCUACUAGAUUUUACAGAUGCCAGAACCCAAAUCAUUCCAAAUUACUUUACAAACCAAGGGUGAUAUGGUCUGGGGAAAGUGGGCUUAAAAUUGGGUUGUAUAUUGCCUUGCUUUUAUACCUGCUUUUACUGAAAGCUCAUAUAAGAAAGCUGGGUCUAGGAGGACUUACCCUGUGGCUAUGGGUCUGAGAUGGGAUUCCCCUGUCCCGGCUCCUGGCUGCCCUAUGGCCCCAGGCUCAGCUGUAUGACUCUGAAAAAGUUAUUUUCACUCUCUGUUGACCCACCGGGUUGCCCUGCUGCUCAGCCAUGGAUGAUGGUCCUUGCUCAGCCUCAAAGUUUAUCCAUUCUGAUUUUAACACCUUUGGGCAGGAACCACCUCUUACUUCAUACUCACGUGCUGCCCAGCAGAGCAGUGCCCUGUCUGCAUUUUAGUCUUCUUGGGACUGUUGACUCACCAGUUCUGAACUGGUGGC